rnacentral:misc_RNA from 1 species
AGCACUAUUGGCAAUGAGAGCUUCAACUAUCUCACCACCUUUUGCACCCUGUCUCCGCAUUGCAUCUAUGUCUUCGCCAGUUAGGCUUUGCGCUUUAUUAUUAUCAAUUAUGGCUCCCCUUUCCCUGGAUUCAUUAAUUAUUUCAGAAUCACCUUUUUCUUCAGCAUUAUUACCUUCUGUGGACGGAAUAAAACGAGAUAAACAGGGCCCUUCCUUCCCGUUUUCAGUUUGGAACAAAG